AACGAACGCUGGCGGCAUGCCUAACACAUGCAAGUCGAACGAGACCUUCGGGUCUAGUGGCGCACGGGUGCGUAACGCGGGGGAACCUGCCCUUAGGUUCGGAAUAACUCCCCGUAAGGGGUGCUAAUACCGGUUAAUGUCUUCGGACCAAAGAUUUAUCGCCUUUGGAUGGGCCCGCGUUGGCUUAGCUAGUUGGUAGGGUACAAGCCUACCAAGGCGACGAUCCAUAGCUGGUCUGAGAGGAUGAUCAGCAACACUGGGACUGAGACACGGCCCAGACUCCUACGGGAGGCAGCAGUGGGGAAUAUUGGACAAUGGGCGAAAGCCUGAUCCAGCAAUGCCGCGUGAGUGAUGAAGGCCUUAGGGUUGUAAAGCUCUUUUACCCGGGAUGAUAAUGACAGUACCGGGAGAAUAAGCUCCGGCUAACUCCGUG
rnacentral:rRNA from 1 species